rnacentral:lncRNA from 1 species
GGCCGAGAUCUCUCGAUCUGAUGUACCAAUCUCUUGUGUACCAUCGUUUAGAAGAUCUCUAUUAAACCCUAGAAGACCAUUGGUCAUGGAUUCAGCUAUAGACCAGAUGUACAUACCUGUCACUUCCUUGCCCCCUCCGCAAGAAACCACCAAUCCAGACAGUAUCCUCGCCAGCCGUCUCUAUUACAUCAAAGCGGAUGCACUAGACGACCUUCAAGCCCUAGCUAGCGGCUCAAAACGUAGGACGAAACUUGAAUCGUUCAGCGCGUUUCUAUGGAAACUCGUGGCCAAACACGCGGCAACAGAUCCAGUCCCGAGCAAGAACUCGAAACUAGGAAUCGUUGUUGAUGGAAGGAGGAGAGUUAUGGAGCAAGAAAAAAAUACUUACUUCGGAAACGUUCUUUCAAUCCCAUUUGGUGGACAAAAGAUCGAUGACUUGGUCAACAAGCCAUUGUCUUGGGUGACCGAAGUGGUUCACAGGUUCUUGGAGAGUUCUGUGACCAAAGAACAUUUCUUGAACUUGAUUGAUUGGGUUGAGACACGCCGCCCAACACCUACGGUUUCAAGAAUCUACAGCACCGGGUCGGAGGACGGACCCGCCUUUGUCGUUUCUUCAGGGAGGAGUUUUCCGGUGACCCAAGUGGAUUUCGGGUGGGGCUCGCCGGUGUUCGGAUCUUAUCAUUUCCCAUGGGGAGGUAAUGCAGGAUAUGUGAUGCCUAUGCCGAGCUCGGUGGAGGAUGGAGACUGGAUGGUUUACUUGCACCUCACGAAAGGACAGUUGAAGUUUAUUGAGGAAGAGGCUUCUCAAGUGCUUAAACCUAUUGACAAUAAUUACCUCAAGAUUUAAAACACUAAUCUGUUGUUAAUGCAAUAUCUAUUACGGUUCAUUUGUGUUAUGCAUGUCAUAUGUGAUAUUAUGUUUGCUUGCGUCUUUGUUCUAUUUGAAUUAUGUGUAUAAUAUGUACUUUGUGUAUCAAAUCAUAUCCCUUUGAUUUUUGGUUCAGUUACUUGGAUGAUGUUGCUCAAUCUAAUAUUUGCACAGUAAUCAAUUAGUUGAUUUUUUUCCAACAACAUACAUUCAAGGGUUUGAGUCCAGAUAGUAACACCACCAACAUUAUUAAAUUACAUGAUCAGUUCUAUUUAAUUUUGUUUGUAAACUAUUAUAUAUAUAUAUAUAUAUAUAUAUAUAUAUAUAGAUCUUGAAUUAUAAACAGAUAUCAAUUGUUUGAACAUGAUAAUUUUAAUUCACUUCUAAAGUCAUAAAAUUAGAUAUAUAGAGCAAAUACUUGAACAAAAAAAUUAUUUUGAAAAAGGUCUAGAAAUAUUGAUAACUGCAAAUAGUUAUUUAUUUAUUUAGAGUUGAGGUUUUUAACAUAUUAGUAUGUAUUACUUCCAUCUUCAGUUAUAUAAAUUUGUUUCUUGAACUGUAGUCAUAUCAUAAUUCAUGUUAGACAUUCGAUAGUCUAUGUAUAAUUUUGAUUGUUGUGGUGAAUACUCAAAUAACAGUUGACAAUAUUAUGAAAAGAGAAACGUUUGAUUGAUGUUACUCGCAAAAGAAUACUAUUGAUUGGUUGAAAAAUGAAGGCACUCAAAAAGUCAGAACUAAUGAAUAUUUGGAACUUCGAACCAAAAAGUAGUUUCAAAAAGAAAAAGAAAAAGAAAAAGACAAACUUCGAACCAAAUAUAUCCAUAGGUCUGCAUAAUAUAUCAUUAUUUCUUAUAUCAGAUAUAAAUACUCCAAGUUUCAUAAAGUUACAUAUCUAAAAAAAAUUAUUUUAAAAAGAUCUAUUUAUUUUUUUGCAUUUUCAAUAUAUGUAUUAUUAACUGAUUGCAAAUUUCAAAAAAUUUAAUUGCACUUAUUAGAUUUUUUUUGCUUAAAAUUAUAAAAAAGUCACAAAAAUUAUGUAUAUUUAAUAUUUUUUAUUCAAAUGUGUAAAAAAUUUAAAAUAUGUAACAUUUUGAAACGAAAGGAAUAUACAAUUAGAAAUGAGCCGAGAUAAUAAGACAUGUCAAUCAACGCAAAUAAUAGAUGGUUAACACAUUAGUUAUGGUGUGAAUUCUAAAAAUAAUUCACAAUUGAUUUUAUCUAAAAGAGUUAUAAGACUAUAAAAAUUUAAAUCGAAGUGUUAAAAUUAAAAUAAGAUUUCAACAGUUGUAAAAAAAAAAAAAUCAACCGAAAUGUUUGAAAGUUUCACCUAAUACUCUCCUAAACUGUGGUUAUAAAUUCUCUUCUUCACAGCAUCUUCCAACAACCCAAAACCACACGUAUUCUUCAUUCCCUCUCUAAGAACAUCAACCAAUGGGAGAAGCGGCGGAGCAAGCACGUGGCUGUGACUUCCAUGUGACCACCACUAGGAAGCAGCUCAUCACGGCGGCUCUUCCACUCCAGGACCACUGGCUCCCUCUCUCAAACCUCGACCUCAUCCUUCCUCCUGUCCACGUCAGCGUUUGUUUCUGCUACAAGAAACCACGUAACAUGACUAAUUCAAUGGCUCAUGAAACCCUCAAGACGGCUUUGGCUGAGACUCUCGUCUCCUAUUACGCUUUUGCCGGCGAGAUUGUCACUAAUCCCACCGGAGAACCUGAGAUUCUCUGCAACAACCGCGGUGUAGAUUUCAUGGAGGCCGGUGCUGACGUGGACCUCCGAGAGCUUAACCUCUAUGAUCCUGAUGAAAGUAUUGCCAAGCUUGUUCCCAUCAAGAAACAUGGUGUCAUAGCGAUUCAGGUAACAGUUUUUGUUAAAUUCAAGUUUAUCAUGUGUUUCUAGAUUAAAACCAACUGAAGAAAAUAGAUUUAUCAUAAUCCUUUAUAUAUUAGUUUAUUAAUUUUCUAUUUUAAGGCAGUAAUAUAGUUCACUAGCUACAAAAAAACAUAACUCUACUUUUGUUUCGUUGUCUGAACAGGUGACUCAACUGAAAUGUGGGAGCAUAGUUGUGGGAUGCACAUUUGAUCAUCGUGUAGCAGAUGCGUAUUCCAUGAACAUGUUCCUUGUAUCGUGGGCCGAGAUCUCUCGAUCUGAUGUACCAAUCUCUUGUGUACCAUCGUUUAGAAGAUCUCUAUUAAACCCUAGAAGACCAUUGGUCAUGGAUUCAGCUAUAGACCAGAUGUACAUACCUGUCACUUCCUUGCCCCCUCCGCAAGAAACCACCAAUCCAGACAGUAUCCUCGCCAGCCGUCUCUAUUACAUCAAAGCGGAUGCACUAGACGACCUUCAAGCCCUAGCUAGCGGCUCAAAACGUAGGACGAAACUUGAAUCGUUCAGCGCGUUUCUAUGGAAACUCGUGGCCAAACACGCGGCAACAGAUCCAGUCCCGAGCAAGAACUCGAAACUAGGAAUCGUUGUUGAUGGAAGGAGGAG